rnacentral:rRNA from 1 species
AUUGAACGCUGGCGGCAGGCUUAACACAUGCAAGUCGAGCGGGGUGAUGGUGCUUGCACUAUCACUUAGCGGCGGACGGGUGAGUAAUGCUUAGGAAUCUGCCUAUUAGUGGGGGACAACAUCUCGAAAGGGAUGCUAAUACCGCAUACGUCCUACGGGAGAAAGCAGGGGAUCACUUGUGACCUUGCGCUAAUAGAUGAGCCUAAGUCGGAUUAGCUAGUUGGUGGGGUAAAGGCCUACCAAGGCGACGAUCUGUAGCGGGUCUGAGAGGAUGAUCCGGCACAAUGGGACUGAGACACGGCCCAGACUCCUACGGGAGGCAGCAGUGGGGAAUAUUGGACAAUGGGGGGAACCCUGAUCCAGCCAUGCCGCGUGUGUGAAGAAGGCCUUAUGGUUGUAAAGCACUUUAAGCGAGGAGGAGGCUUACCUAGUUAAUACCUGGGAUAAGUGGACGUUACUCGCAGAAUAAGCACCGGCUAACUCUGUGCCAGCCGCCGCUGUAA